CUUUCUUUGCUGGCGACCGGCGCACGGGUGAGUAACACGUAUCCAACCUGCCCUUUACUCGGGGAUAGCCUUUCGAAAGAAAGAUUAAUACCCGAUAGCAUAAUGAUUCCGCAUGGUUUCAUUAUUAAAGGAUUCCGGUAAAGGAUGGGGAUGCGUUCCAUUAGGUUGUUGGUGAGGUAACGGCCCACCAAGCCUUCGAUGGAUAGGGGUUCUGAGAGGAGGUCCCCCACAUUGGAACUGAGACACGGUCCAA
rnacentral:rRNA from 1 species